rnacentral:lncRNA from 7 species
AAGCCCUGCUCUGAGCUGGGGGAUGGACAAGACCUUCAAGCAUUCCUCAUAGACUAAGGUUUUGGGGUUCUUUAAGAUUUAAUGGCACCUUUCACCUUCUACACAGUGAAGACUACUGCAGAGGACUAAUGCAGGUUUUUUGUGGUGGCUGUUGCAAGCGAAAGUGCAAACUACAGUACAUGGAGAAGGAAGCAAGAGUCUGUACUCGCUGCUAUGAUUAUAUUAAUAAAGGCUGCAAAUGCAGAGGAAGCUGACAUGCCAACUGAUGUAAAUUCAAAACCAAAAGAAGAAAUGGAUGGUAUUACAAGAAUGGAGGGACUGUGUCCUUCUGUUCCCUCAGAGGAUGCACAACAGAUCAUUUCCAGCCAGAGUGAGAUGACCGAUGGUGAUAAAUCUCUGACUCCAGACACUACAGAGUGUUCUUCUGCCAUGGAAUCUGGGAAGACUAGUACUAAUUUAGUAGAUUGGACUAAAAGUGAAAUGCCUGUUAGUCCUACAAGUUACGGAGCGCUCUGUGGUGUUGAAAACUGUGUUCGGAAAGAUGUCGACCUUCUUCCAGAUGGUGAUAAACUGCCACCGCUUCUGCUUGCCAUGGGUGAAAGAGGAAAAGAUCCUCUAGUGGAAGAGCAUCUGUCUCACCAACAGGUCGCCUUGCUUCUUGAGAAAGGAGGUGCCAGUCCGUUAACCUCCUAACACACUUAACUAAUCCUAAACGCAAACUUGCUUGUGAAUGUCAAGUUAAUAUCUUAUUCUUCAGAAAAAUGCUGGUACUUCUCAACAAACGGGCUACACGGUUUGGGGCAGGCAGAAAUUGUCAUUCUGUUGCAGUGUUUGCCAGAUGAGAAGACUUUUCCUAAUGAAAUAUUCAAAUUAUUUAUUGACAUCUAUAAGAAUGCUGUAAAAGGUAUGGAAUCACGUCUGACGUUACGCUAUGAUAUUUUCUUGCUUGCCUUCAGAGUUGGAAGAUUAUGCGAUUUUUAUGCGUUUGUAGAUAUCUGACCUGGCUGAAAAACUUCUCAGUGUUCAGCCUUUGUUUCUAAAUAAACUGAAAGAAAAU